UGGCUCUCGCAUCGAUGAAGAACGCAGCGAAAUGCGAUAAGUAAUGUGAAUUGCAGAAUUCAGUGAAUCAUCGAAUCUUUGAACGCACCUUGCACCCUUUGGUAUUCCGAAGGGUACACCCGUUUGAGUGUCAUUGUAAUCUCACCUCCGGAAACUUGUUUUCUGGGAGUGGACUUGGAUGCCUGCCGUGUCUCACGGCUCAUCUGGAAUGUCUCAGUGUACCCCGCUCGUCAGCGUAAACAGUGUGGUAGGUAUCUUCACUGGUUAGCUUCCUUGGAGGCGCGCUCUCAGGUGGAUUGGCUAUGCUGCCAACCGUCUUCGGACAAAACUCUGACAAUUUGACCUCAAAUCGGGUGGGAUUACCCGCUGA
rnacentral:misc_RNA from 1 species